rnacentral:rRNA from 1 species
GUGGGGAAUAUUGCACAAUGGGCGCAAGCCUGAUGCAGCAACGCCGCGUGAGGGACGACGGCCUUCGGGUUGUAAACCUCUUUUAGCAGGGAAGAAGCGAAAGUGACGGUACCUGCAGAAAAAGCACCGGCUAACUACGUGCCAGCAGCCGCGGUAAUACGUAGGGUGCAAGCGUUGUCCGGAAUUAUUGGGCGUAAAGAGCUCGUAGGCGGUUUGUCGCGUCUGCUGUGAAAACCCGAGGCUCAACCUCGGGCCUGCAGUGGGUACGGGCAGACUAGAGUGCGGUAUGGGAGAUUGGAAUUCCUGGUGUAGCGGUGGAAUGCGCAGAUAUCAGGAGGAACACCGAUGGCGAAGGCAGAUCUCUGGGCCGUAACUGACGCUGAGGAGCGAAAGCGUGGGGAGCGAACAGGAUUAGAUACCCUUGUAGUCC